GGAGAUGCCCUAAUAUUGGUUUC
rnacentral:siRNA from 1 species